UACGUAGGGUGCAAGCGUUGUCCGGAAUUAUUGGGCGUAAGGAGCUCGUAGGCGGUUCGUCGCGUCGGCUGUGAAAACCCGGAGCUCAACUCCGGGCCUGCAGUCGAUACGGGCGGACUUGAGUGUUGCAGGGGAGACUGGAAUUCCUGGUGUAGCGGUGAAAUGCGCAGAUAUCAGGAGGAACACCGGUGGCGAAGGCGGGUCUCUGGGCAACUACUGACGCUGAGGAGCGAAAGCGUGGGGAGCGAACAGG
rnacentral:rRNA from 1 species